rnacentral:misc_RNA from 1 species
GAUGAAGAACGUAGCGAAAUGCGAUACGUAAUGUGAAUUGCAGAUUUCAGUGAAUCAUCGAAUCUUUGAACGCACAUUGCGCCCGCCAGUAUUCUGGCGGGCAUGCCUGUUCGAGCGUCAUUUCAACCAUCAAGCGCCUCGCUUGUGUUGGGGCCCUGCGGCUGCCGCAGGCCCCUAAAUCCAGUGGCGGGCUCGUCGUCGUACCGAGUGCAGUAAACAUCCUCGCUCAGGGAACCCGACGGGUGCCGGCCGUGAAACCCCCCCUCCUCAAGGUUGACCUCGGAUCAGGUAGGAAUACCCGCUGAACUUAAGCAUAUCAAUAAGCGGAGGA